rnacentral:rRNA from 1 species
AGUGAACGCUGGCGGUAGGCCUAACACAUGCAAGUCGAACGGCAGCACAGUAAGAGCUUGCUCUUACGGGUGGCGAGUGGCGGACGGGUGAGGAAUACAUCGGAAUCUACUUUUUCGUGGGGGAUAACGUAGGGAAACUUACGCUAAUACCGCAUACGGCCUACGGGUGAAAGCAGGGGAUCUUCGGACCUUGCGCGAUUGAAUGAGCCGAUGUCGGAUUAGCUAGUUGGCGGGGUAAAGGCCCACCAAGGCGACGAUCCGUAGCUGGUCUGAGAGGAUGAUCAGCCACACUGGAACUGAGACACGGUCCAGACUCCUACGGGAGGCAGCAGUGGGGAAUAUUGGACAAUGGGCGCAAGCCUGAUCCAGCCAAACCGCGUGGGUGAAGAAGGCCUUCGGGUUGUAAAGCCCUUUUGUUGGGAAAGAAAAGCAGCAGGUUAAUACCCCGCUGUUCUGACGGUACCCAAAGAAUAAGCACCGGCUAACUUCGUG